GACGAACGCUGGCGGCGUGCUUAACACAUGCAAGUCGAACGAUGAAGCCGGAGCUUGCUCCGGUGGAUUAGUGGCGAACGGGUGAGUAACACGUGAGCAAUCUGCCCUUGACUCUGGGAUAACUGCGGGAAACUGUAGCUAAUACCGGAUACGACACCUUGGGGCAUCCCAGGGUGUGGAAAGAAUUUCGGUCAAGGAUGAGCUCGCGGCCUAUCAGCUAGUUGGUGAGGUAAUGGCUCACCAAGGCGACGACGGGUAGCCGGCCUGAGAGGGUGACCGGCCACACUGGAACUGAGACACGGUCCAGACUCCUACGGGAGGCAGCAGUGGGGAAUAUUGCACAAUGGGCGAAAGCCUGAUGCAGCAACGCCGCGUGAGGGAUGAAGGCCUUCGGGUUGUAAACCUCUUUUAGCAGGGAAGAAGCGAAAGUGACGGUACCUGCAGAAAAAGCACCGGCUAACUACGUGCCAGCAGCAGCCGCAG
rnacentral:rRNA from 1 species